CCAGACUCCUACGGGAGGCAGCAGUGGGGAAUAUUGCACAAUGGGGGAAACCCUGAUGCAGCGACGCCGCGUGAGGGAAGAAGGUUUUCGGAUUGUAAACCUCUGUCUUUGGUGACGAAAGAUGACGGUACCCACAGAGGAAGCACCGGCUAACUCCGUGCCAGCAGCCGCGGUAAUACGGGGGGUGCAAGCGUUGUCCGGAAUCAUUGGGCGUAAAGAGUUCGUAGGCGGCACGUAAAGUCUGGCGUUAAAGGCAGAGGCUCAACUUCUGUACGGCACUGGAUACUUGCGAGCUAGAAUGCGGUAGAGGUAAAGGGAAUUCCUGGUGUAGCGGUGAAAUGCUUAGAUAUCAGGAGGAACAUCGGUGGCGUAAGCGCUUUACUGGGCCGUAAUUGACGCUGAGGAACGAAAGCCAGGGUAGCAAAUGGGAUUAGAUACCCUCGUA
rnacentral:rRNA from 1 species